rnacentral:tRNA from 1 species
AUUUCGGUAGCUUAAUUUUAGAGCGAAGCAGUGAAGUUGCUUAGGCGGGGAUAGAUCAUGCCCUCGGGAUA